CUAGGGAGUUGUGGGCGAACUCCAGGUGAGUGGGCAGUUUUGUUUUCGUAUUACCUAUAUACUAUUGUUUUUCCCAGAAAAAAAUGCUUUUAUGCGAAAUUAUGUUUUGAAAAUGCCAUGCAUAGAAUUAAUUGGAAAAUGUGAAUUUCAUAUGAGUUAUAUGAUUGAUAUAUGAGGCAUACAUGUUGCAUGGUGCUGUGGAGGCACAGGUAAGUCAGGUGAGUUCGUUUAUUCAUUGAAUUGUUGUUGUUGAGAUGUUUGAGCUCAUAAUCUGCACCCUAGGUGUUAGUGCUUAUAUUAUUCACCACACCGCACGCUCGCCUUGGAUCCAAGUAGGUGGAUGUCGUACAGACCAUGUGAGGGUUCCGACAUGCCAGUCGUACAGACCAUUAGAGGGGUUCCGACUGGUGGGUGACCUUAGAUAUGCGCGCUGAUGAUAUGAUGAGAGAAGCACUAGAGCGUAUUUUACACCUUUCAUCGUAUAGACUACCUUACGUAGUUCCGAGUGAUGUGCAGAGUAGGGCCGUAUAGGUCACUGUGGUGACUCCGGCUUAGUGAGAUAUUGAGCUAUUGAAUUAAUCGUAUAGGACCAACUGCAGGGUCUCCGAUUGAUUCCUUUAUUUCACCUGAUUUAUAUUUUGAUUUAUGGCAUGGCAUGUUUUUUCUUGAAAAAUGUUAAAGAUUUGGGAUUCAAGCUUUGAGAUUUCAUAUGGUUAUAUAUAUAUAAUAUAUAUUAUAUAUAUAUAUAUAUAUAUAUAUAUAUUUCUGAAAAGUGUUAAAGGUUUGAGAUUUGAGCUUUUUGCUUAUAUAUAUGUUAUAUAUAUAUGCUAUUUUCUGGGAAAGUAUACAGGUUUUACGGUGAGGGGUUAUAAAUGUUUUAAAUGAAAAGUCUUCGAAAAACUUUGUUUUACUGACCCACUCAAUUUUGUUUUGCGCCCCUCCAGGUUCAAGUUAGCAGAGCUUUGGUGGCCACGAGGAAUCCAACGGUGUUCUGACAGAAUUCACAAAAGUAGGACUCACCCUCGGGUGUGUUAUCUUAGUAAUUGGAAUUUUUUUUUUAAAGCUUCCGAACUGUGUAAAUGGUUACGUCACUCUCACGUGACGGCCAGCACGCCCUCCUUCGGGACGGGGUGUGUCA
rnacentral:lncRNA from 1 species